AUUAUCUGUAGCAUUCAACAUCGUAGCUUACCAGGCAAAAAUGAAAUCCGUUUCUAAAGCCAGUAGUCAUACAUACAGCAAAAUAUUUUCUUCUCCCUUACUCUGGAAGUGAAGAUGAAGUGCAAUAUGUUCCAACAUCCCUUACUCUAAUCCAACAAUUCUUACUAAAGCAGCACAGACGGCCUAUAAGUUAACCAAUCAUAUUUCUGAAAUAACAUUCUAAUGUUGAAAUGACAAAAAAAGGUUUCUGAAUUUUACAGUUAUAUUCUGCAAUUUAGUUUCAAAAGAUCGACAAAAACCCAACUCAAUUGGUUUUCUUCUCUUCAGGUUUUGCAGGAAUUACAUCCGCACUGGCGACCUGCUCAUCCUCACCACCAAAACCAAAUUCAUUUAUACGUGAACUGUCCACUGGAUAAAUCCAUCGCUGGUAUAGAUAUAUCAAAAAUAUGACAUCAUCACGGAAGACAGAAAGCCGAUGUAGUGUUGGCAUUUUUAUGACAAAUGCAAAGAGAUCAUCAAUUAUGGUAUUCAGGAACUUGUACGUCAUCUGCCUCCAUGGUAGAUGAGCCACAGAUUUCAACUUAUAAUUUAUGAACAGCUGAGGGCACAUCAUAAUAAAACCAAACAUGUACACACAGCUUGUGAGUGAAGAGAGAAUCCAAGAAUACCAGCUCUUGUGGCGCUCAUACAUGAGCGAGUAAACAGAAGAGCAUGCAACAAGAAAGAAGAGCACAUAAGACAAAUACUUCAUUGCAAGGUCAUCAUAUUCCUUUGUCUUAUUUCCUGCAUAAGACUCACGAUCUCGGAACUUCAACAUAGGUAUCUUUCCACUUCUAUCAAUCUCUAUGUGCAUGGCUUUCCCUAUUUUCCAAAACUCAAUACAGCAACCAAUUCCAGAACUUGCAAGUAUCAUCCAUGAAGUGUCAUUGUCAAGUAGAUAAAGAAAGACGAUGAGCUGACAUAUAAAGCUCACAACAACAGAUUUUGCAGAGAGCCCUUCCAUCGACUUAUUUUUGUUCCAAAAUUGGAUAUCAUUCUUGAAUGCUAAGAAGUCAAAGACCGAAUGAAGUAAUGAAACAACCAUUGUGAUCACCAAGAGGUAUGGAUUUCCUUCCAAGAAGACCCUCUUCAGUUCAUCAGCCUCGCCUUCAAGCAUGCUUCCAUAAGUGCGAUGAAUCUGAAAUGAUUGAUCAAUCUGCAGGAAUAGUUGCCACUUUGUCAUGCUUAUAGGGCCCACCUCCAGAUUAAGUGGCAACUCCGUCACUGUCUCAUUGACUGGGAUCAGCUUAUCUCUAAGCAACCAAAAUUCAUUGAAGAAUAUGGUGGGGUAGUAAUUCCCUGUACUAGGCUCAACAUUCAAGUAAGGAGCAAUAUUUGGUGGUACAGAACUAUGUGGGUAUUUUGUCAUAUCAUCAACCAGAUUAAUUGUAACAUUAGGUUUCCAAUAUGAAACCCAUUCCACGGGGCCAACAUCUUUAGGAUCAACUUCAUUAUCACCAACAACCUGGGAGAUAAUUUCCCCCUCAUCAGAUCGUUUCGAGUUCCCCAACAGACUCCUCCUUUUGUCUGCCUUUGACUUGGGCAAGUACGUCACAACAGGAUAAGUCUUUCCAAAGGCAAAAAGAGGUUGGUACUCUGGAUCAUUUGGGUCUGGAGGAUACCCAGACCGUGCAAAGAAAACAUGGCCAUAAACAGUGCCAUUUUGCUUCACUGCCUCAGAUGGAUAGUAUUUCAUAGAAAGAGAUCUGGUACUCUCUGGUCCCCAAACAGCAUAAGGUAUGUUAGUUUCAUGCCAAACAAGUGCAGCUUCAUUGUUGAAGUCAUUAAACUUUUCCUGCUCAGAAAGAUAAAACCACAAAUCCAGAGAAUCUCCCUUUUGGAAGAGAUUGGAGAUAAGAAGAGAAGGAUCGGAGGGUCUCUUAGGAGCGAAGAAUUUGGAAGCGAAAUACCAAAAGACAGCAAUCCUAAUGAUUCCGGUAAUAGUCUGCCCUAUUCCCCCAUUCUGCUGCUGCUGCUGCUGUCUCUGCGGCCCUGCUGCUACCGGCGGUGCCAUGUCCUCUCCCUCUCAGACGAACUAGGGUGGCUGCUGCUUCUGAGAGAGAGAAAAAGAUGUAUUUGUUGAUGUAUAUGUAUAGCUGCUUCUGUUGUAAUCGAAGUGGGAAAGGAAAGAGAUUUUUUUUUUUUACUUUUUUAUUUAAUAGAAAAUAUCUCUUUAGGUUUGAGCAGGAGCCCGGAGGCCAAAGCUGGAAGAGAAGCGAUGAUGUGUUGCUCAGCGUAGCAAAAUAGAUGGGAAUCUUAAACUUAAUUGAAA
rnacentral:misc_RNA from 1 species